CCCCGUAGCCAGCGAUCGCUGUGACUGUGAGGGAGAGAAACCAAGGCAGAAGGGCAGAGGGUCGAUGCGCUGGGACUUGCCUAUGCGCGAAGGGCAUCCUCGGAGCCUGAAGUUCCUCCGUCGCCGCAAUGCCGCACUGCAACUGUCAGGCCCCGGCACUGCGUAUUCGAUGGUGAGCACGGUGAGAAUUCUUUCCGAAUUUUUGCCUCGUCGUCCACUACCUAUGGCACCCUCGAGAGUAUAGCUUAGGGCGUGGGAGCGUGUGAUCGGCGUUCUCCGGUGAUGGCUUCCGCCAUGGAAGUGACGCGCCGCUGCUGUCUGUAGUUGAGAGAGAGAUGUGGUCGCGACCGUCGAUCGCGGAACCAGUGGCCAAGACUAGACCACGCUUACCGUUUUGUUUCAUCCGAUUCAGACCGUCAAUCUCUGAUCCGACGGGCAUCAGUGCAUACCGGUUCGGCGUCUCAUCUCAAGCGUCGUAUCACGAUCGUGCGGCUCUAUAUGCACGAUACCUCUUCGUGCGAUAGAUCUGAGUCGUUCAUUUUGGAUCGGGCGCGUAGGAUUACAUCAUGCUUCAUAAAAUCCGAGCCAUAGAUCCCGGAUCCGGCGGCCACGAAAACGUACCAUUUCGUCGUGGGCGAGAUCUAAUCAUUGUCGUGCGCGCUUGAUCCUGCGGCCUAGACUCAACCAUACCCUUUCAGCCUGACAUUAUUGCAUAAGAGCCCCACGACUUGUUCAUAAUUAACCCGCCAACCGAUUACUACUGUAAAGAAAUUAAUUUAGGUCCUAUUAUUUACAUAUUAGCGUCUAGGUUCUUCGGAACCUUACACCGCCGUCCACGAAUUUCAGAAUAAAUACAAAAUUGAAGCUGAAAUGAAUUUUUAGUAUACAAACAAUUCCAGAGAUCACGAAAAAUUCAUAUCUUGUCCGUUUUUACAACUCUGAUUUGAUCUGUUUCAGUUGUGAUACCCCGUAAUUAAAAUUGUCGACUCAUUAACAACAACAUUUGUAUUAUAUCACAUACUUAUAUAAUUUGAUAUUUGUUUAACUUAUGUUUAGCAGAAUUAACCUGCUAAUCAAAAAUCAUAUGUCUAUAAUUAUAAUUUGAGUAAAAAAGUGAUCUAUAAAUUAAAGUUAUAACUUAGAUUAAAGCUAAAAUUAGAUAUUUCUUUAGAGUAUCUUUAUUACAUGGAUUAUAAUCAAUAUAGAACAUAGUUUAAUACCUAGAACUUUCGAAAAUUGUACCCGUUAAAUCGUAACUCUGAUUGUAGUGCUUCUCGAACCUACACUCUCGUAGCGACGCAUAGAAUGUUAUUGUGUGGUUCAUUCUCAUGUUUGGUGUUAUGUUAUUUUUAUAUAUUCCCUGCCUAUCUGUAUGUAUUGCUACAAGUAGAGGCGAGGUGACGAGCAACCCGAAGCCAACUUUUGGGUCAGCAUCUAGACAACACGUUAUCACAAGUAUAAGACAAGUUGUGCCCUUGAUCACUCUUCUUUACCCAAUAAUGUUCCUAUUAAUCAUUAUGAUCUGCUUAGGUGAAUCUUGAUGGGACCUGUUGGGGGUCUUCCUCUUCCGAAGGUCCUCAAAAACAUGACUAACCAUCUGCUUCUAGCAUAAUAUUGAUUACUAUAGGGAGCUUCGGUUCAUGAUGAGAGUCUUCUCCUAUGGCGAAGGUAUACAAGACGAAGAUAUAGCCCGCGGAUGAUAAGAAUGAACGCCGAAGCUAUAACUGAAAAUUAACAGCUUCGGUUUAAAAUGGUGACGAAGACUAAGCAUGGUGCUGAGCCGAAAAGGAAAAGACUAGCUAGUCCCUAAUAAUCUAUGUUAUAGUUGUGAAUAAAUGUUAAGGAUAUAAAUGUACUUUUAUCCGGGCUGCGUCUCGUGCCUAUAAAUAGGUGAACAGUGCCACCAUACUGUUCACGCUGAAUUGUAAUUGCUUUCGCAUCAACACCUUCGAACAAGCCGAAGGUACUAAUGUAAUCUAAAUUCUGUUGAUGCCCAUGUGCGUAUUAUGAAAUACAUAUGUAUAUGAGCCA
rnacentral:lncRNA from 1 species